rnacentral:rRNA from 1 species
AUUGAACGCUGGCGGCAGGCCCAACACAUGCAAGUCGAACGGUAACAGAGAGCAGCUUGCUGCUUUGCUGACGAGUGGCGGACGGGUGAGUAAUGUCUGGGAAACUGCCUGAUGGAGGGGGAUAACUACUGGAAACGGUAGCUAAUACCGCAUAACGUCGCAAGACCAAAGAGGGGGACCUUCGGGCCUCUUGCCAUCGGAUGUGCCCAGAUGGGAUUAGCUAGUAGGUGGGGUAAAGGCUCACCUAGGCGACGAUCCCUAGCUGGUCUGAGAGGAUGACCAGCCACACUGGAACUGAGACACGGUCCAGACUCCUACGGGAGGCAGCAGUGGGGAAUAUUGCACAAUGGGCGCAAGCCUGAUGCAGCCAUGCCGCGUGUAUGAAGAAGGCCUUCGGGUUGUAAAGUACUUUCAGCGGGGAGGAAGGGAGUAAAGUUAAUACCUUUGCUCAUUGACGUUACCCGCAGAAGAAGCACCGGCUAACUCCGUG